GGGGAAUGACAAAUAGUAACAAACAAUCCACAGUAUUAGGAAACCUGAAGAAAUGAAUCUGUGGAACUACUUAUUGAGUGCUCUUCUUUCACGAGCAACGCAAGAAUUUGAGUCCCCUUCACAGAAAAAGCUUUGAAACAAUUAUGGCUUGAGGGCAACAGACAAACCAAACUUGGGAAUCCUGUCCAAUGCCUUCGUGUCGAUCUCGCCGGAGAUGGUCAACAAAGAUUUUGGAAUAAUUUCAUGCUGGAGGAGUGCUCCAAGCUUCCCGUUAUUGUUCAGCUUCCCCUUCACCACUGUCAGAUGAUCGAUGGCAUACGACCCGCCUACUGUGAAAGUGUUCUCGUUUGUGGAGAAUCUUCGAGUGAUCUCUCCCACUGCAGCACUCUUCUUGAAUUGAUCCAAAUGGUGCAC
rnacentral:misc_RNA from 1 species